rnacentral:rRNA from 1 species
UACGUAGGGGGCAAGCGUUAUCCGGAAUUACUGGGUGUAAAGGGUGAGUAGGUGGUUAGAUAAGUCAUAUGUGAAAUCCCAAGGCUCAACCUUGGUGCUGCAUAAGAAACUAUUUAACUAGAGUACAGGAGAGGUAAGCGGAAUUCUUAGUGUAGUGGUAAAAUGCGUAGAUAUUAAGAAGAACACCAGUGGCGAAGGCGGCUUACUGGACUGAAACUGACACUGAGUCACGAAAGCGUGGGGAGCGAACAGG